GGAGAGUGAUACCUCAGACAGGGAAGAGGGCGGGUCUUCAGACGACGAUGGCGGAGACGAUGACGACGGGGCGGAUGACGAGUGUGGUGGCCGUGGCAGCAGCAGCAGCGGUGACAGUGGGAACGACAGAUCGGGCACUGCCACUGAUGCGAGCCCAAGUCCCGAGCGUGCUGAGGCGUCUGAGGGGAAGAACACGACACAGACUACUCCC
rnacentral:ribozyme from 1 species